AAAUUUAAUAUGCUAAUUAAAUUGUCACAGCCUACAGUUCACCCGCUUCAUUAAGGGUAACUCCGUAAUUUUAGUCAAUGAAUGACCUUUGUUCUAAUUUUUUCGCUUCUUUUUUUUUCUCUCUCUAUUCUUCUUAGUUUCUCUCUCUUCUCUCAAAAGCUCUCAACGACGAUUGAUAGUUCGAUUUUGCUGCUCGAUUUUUUGGAUUUUGCUGUCUAAUAUCUUCAAUUUAGUUCCAAUUCUUCGAGUUUGCUACUCGAUUUAUGUUAAUCGAUCAUUAUGGAGAGGGUGCAGAUACUAUUGUGGUGUUGGUGCCGAUAGAAUUCGGACAUGAUCUGAUGUUCAGUAUAAAGCUAUGGAAUUAACAUAAGUGGAAGCAAUAUUCUUAAGCUGCUGCCCUGCCAUGGCUUGCUACUGCAGCUUCUACUUUUGCCUUGCCAAGGCUGCUGCUGCAACUACGUACUGCCCUUCCAUGGCUUGAUGCUGAUGUUCUACUUCUGCUCUACCGCCUACUGUUGCUAUGCUACUUCUGCUGUACAGCUGCUGCUGUAAAUGGUGGUCGGGAGUUCUUGAAGUUGAGCGAAACGGGCCAAGUAGUCUACUUUUUUAUCUACUUUUUAUUAUUUUUUUAUCUACUUCUGUCAUAUUACUCAUAUGAUGCAUAGUGCCAAGGCUGCAUAAUGGCAAGUAAUCUGAUUUUGUAAUGUGGUUUCUUAUAAUUUUCUCAUUUCAUUGCAUCUGUUAGUUUUAUUAGCUGCAUUAAAUUAGACAGAGUGAAGUACGCUAUUUUGAUUUGUGACUUUAUGGCUAUGGAUAUAUCUCAGAUUUUUUAACAGAGUUGGCUUGUUCUUUGGUCAUGGCAUAAGGAAAGCCUGUUACUACUCACAUAGAACCUGUACAGACUAAUGACACACCUAGAAGACCCAGGAUCCUUCUAGCUACAAGUGGAAGUGUUUCUCCGAUCAAGUUUGGGAACCUCUAUCAUUGCUUUUCUGAAUGGGCUGAUGUAAAAGCAGUGGCAACUAAAUCUGCAUUGCAUUUUAUUGACACCGUGACAAUUCCUUGAACCGGUUUUUCUUCGUGGAUGAUUUGACUGGAUUUGAGAUCACACUCCUGUUGGAGGUAAUAACCUCACUUCAUGUUGCAAGAAUCUCAGAGUUGUCUAUCGAAAUUCCUUCUUAUCUAUUCAUCAGUAGCUUCGACAAUUUGAUCAUUCUAUUCUAUGUUAAGGUAGCUUCCAGAGCCUUUCAGUUUCUUUGAUUAUUGUUGUUUUCUUUGAUUUUAAAUCAAGGUUAUGCGAUGCAUAUAUAGUAGCCUAGUUUGGUAUUGGAUCAAGAAAGUGUUAGCUGAAUGCCGGUGAAGCUUGUACCAUUGAUUUUUAUCAUUGAUAUCCAUUUACUCGAUUUUAGGUUAUUUGUGAAAAUAUCAUAUUCCAUUGCUCAUGUCAGUUAGGUUUCGUUUUGAUUUGUUUAAUUUGGUUGUGAUCAUAUUUGUUUCUGUCCAUCUUGUGCACUGUGUAUACUUCAGGUUUGACAGAUUAAGUUCGUGAGAUGAAUUUUAUGCGUAAUUUGUUAAUUGAAGGGAUGUUUUAACUAUGACAGAUAAUAAUUAUCAGAAUAUAGCUUAUUUAAGGGGAAUACUUUACAAAAUUAAAUGAUACAUUGAAUUCACUCACUGAAAAGACUGGAAUUAAUACAGAAGAACCAAUA